AAUAAAGACUUACCUACUAAAAUAUCACCCGUUUCAACCCACUAUAAUGAAUAUAAUGUAGAAUUGUGUGUCCUUUAUUCAUUCACCAAGAGGUGUUUAUAUACAACAUCUUUAGCAUAACCUAGCUAGGAAAAGGAAAUACAUAGAUCGUCUAAAUCCCAACAAUAUAGGAAACUUUAUAUUUAUCCUAAUCCCAAUACUCCCCCUCAAGUUGGCAAUGACGGUGUCCGAAUGCCUAACUUGGACAAUAAGUAAUCAAAUGUAGGCGUAGGUAAUGCCUUGGUGAGGAGAUCCGCAGGUUGAUGCUUAGUAGAGAUAUGUUCUGUCGUGAGAAGCUUGGAUUGAACAGCAUCACGUACUGUAUGACAGUCAUUCUCAACGUGUUUUGUCCUUUCAUGGAAGACAGGGUUCUUGGCGAUGUAAAUGGCCGAUUGACUGUCACAAAACAUACGCAUUGGUUGAGGAUGAGAGAAACCAAAUUGAGCCAACAGGCGUUUAAGCCACUUUAGCUCACACGUAGUAUCAGCCAUAGACCGGUAUUCUGCUUCAGCAGAUGAACGCGAGACAGUACGCUGCUUCUUUGUCUUCCAAGAGACAAGAGAAUCACCGAGGAGAACCACAUAGGCACUCAAUGACCGGCGUGUAAUAGGACAGGCAGACCAAUCAGCAUCGCAGUAAGCAGUAAGCUGCAAAUCACACGAAGAGGAUAGCAUAAUACCCUGGUCCGGAGUCCCUUUCAAGUAACGUACAACCCUCAAGGCCGCCAGCCAAUGAUCUUCGCGAGGCCUUUGCAUAAACUGAGAAAGGAGAUGAACAAUAUAACUUAGCUCAGGCCGAGUAAACGUCAAAUAGAUGAGACGACCAACUAGGCGUCUAUAUUUGCCGGGAUCAGUAAGCCACGGGCUUUUAGACAAUGGAAGCUUGUGAUUAAGCUCCGUAGGGACAGGAGAUGGUUUAGCACCGAGGAGACCACAUUCUGCAACAAUGUCUAAAGCAUAUUUUCUCUGUGACACAAAAAUACCCUCAGGUCCUCUAGCAACUUCGAGACCAAGGAAGUACUUGAUUUUUCCCAAAUCUUUCAUCUUGAAGUGCUUGUUAAGGUAGGUUUUAAACCGCUGAAUCGUAGAAAUAUCGUUGCCUGCAAUAAUGAAGUCAUCGACAUAGACGAGUAUGUGAAGACAUAUAUUUCCUUGGAUAAGUGAGAAAAGAGAAUAGUCUUCAUAACUCUGAGUAAAACCAAAGGCAAGAAGUGUAGUACUGAGCUUUGAAAACCAACACCUAGGAGAUUGUUUCAAACCAUAGAGUGAUUUGCGAAGCCUGCAGACUUUGGAUGGAUCAGAAGAUCGGAAGCCUGGUGGUAAUUCCAUGUAGAUUUCCUCCUCUAAGUCCCCAUGUAAAAAUGCAUUGUGAACAUCCAUCUGAUGUACCUCCCAACGCUUUGCUGCUGCUAACUUAAGUAGAAAACGAACAGUAUUCAUCUUUGCGACAGGAGCAAAUGUAUCUUUGUAGUCUCGACCUUCCUUUUGUCUAUUUCCAUGCGCCACCAGUCGAGCUUUGGGUCGCUCUAUUGUACCAUCAGCUCGAUAUUUGUUGGAAUAAAGCCAUUGGCAGCUAAUGGCCUUCUUCCCCGGGGGUAAAGUAGUGACGUCCCAAGUAUGAUUGUCUUCUAAGGCAGUGACCUCGGUUUUCAUAGCACCUUUGAAGCGUUCAUCAAGGAUAGCUUCAUUAAAGGUUGCAGGAACAUAAUCCGAGGUGAUCUGAGCAAGAAAAGCCUGAUGUUUCUCUGAAAAAACAGAGGAAGACAAGUAGUCAGCGAUAGGAUACAGUGUCUUACCUGAGACCGGUGGAAGAGAACUCUGAUCAGAAGAAGAUAGAACGUGAGAGGGGUUUGUAGAUUCUGUAGUAUGAGCAACAAAAUUUUUGAGUAGAAUGGACGGCUUUUUAGCACGAUGACCACGACCAAGUACUUCCAAUAGACCUGGAGAUUUAGUGUGGUCAGGCUGUUCUGAUUCUGACGUUGAUGUCGUAGGUAACACAGCCUGAGUCGGAGAUGUAGUUGGAGACAAAGGCAGUGGAUCAGAAGGUAUAGAAGUAGGAGACGUCGAUGAAGGUAGAGUCUCAGUAGUAGGAGAAGCGUUUGUAGGAUUUUGAGUUGUUGUAGAUGGAAUGGACGAGUCUGUUGGCACAAGAGAGGGAAUAGGUGGCGAUGCUGGCGUGCUCCCCCUAGAUGUCACCGUCGGGAGUAGCCAAUCGUCUAUUACGUCCUCUUGCAUAACUGGUGGUGUAACAUACUCUGUAUCAGGAAGCCCUGGAAACUUGUCUUCGAAGAAAAGAACAUCGCGGCUUAUGAAGAAUUCAUUUGUUUCUGGAUCAUAGAGUCUCCAUGCUUUCUUGCCAAAGGGGUAACCAACAAACAAACACUUGCGACUCCUAGCCCCAAAUUUAUCUUUAUCUCGCGCACGCCUAUGUGCAUAUGCAAGACAUCCAAAAACGCGAAGUUGAUCAAAGACUGGAGGUUUACCGUGAAGCACUUCAUAUGGCGUUUUGCCAUCUAAAACUUUUGUAGGAGUACGGUUAAUAAGAUGAGCAGCUGCUAAAAUACUUUCUCCCCAAAACGUGGAAGGAAGGUGUGCUUGGAAGAGGCAAGCACGAGCCACAUUAAGUAUAUGCCUGUGUUUCCGUUCCACACGAGCAUUUUGUUGUGGUGUAUCAAUGCAAGAAGUUUGAUGUACAAUCCCCUGCUCCUGAAAAUAUUUCCGAAGGACUGUAAACUCUGUUCCAUUAUCCGUGCGAAUCAUUCGAACGGGACGUCCGAAUUGCCUUUCCGACAUGGCACAAAAGUUCUUAAGUAAAGUAGCAACUUCUGAUUUUUCAAGCAUCAAAUACGUCCAUACUGCGCGAGAGAAAUCAUCAACGAUGGUAAGAAAGUAUACGGCACCACAUGAUGCUGGUGUGCGAUAUGGUCCCCAAACAUCACAAUGAAUAAGUUCAAACGGUGCAGAAGCUUUAUUAAGGCUAUCGGGAAAAACCCGUCGAGUUUGCUUAGCUUGAAAACAAAUAUCACAUUGACUAGAAUCAGAAAAAUCUAUAAUAAGGGAUUUAAAAGCCGGUAAUGAAGAUAGAAUUUUGUAUGACGGAUGCCCAAGACGACGAUGCCACAGAACUGAAGAAUCUGAAGACUUUGUAGCCCCAUGAACUCGUGCAACUUUGACUCCCGUAAAGUAGUACACCCCCUCACGUUCUUCACCUGCUCCAAUCAGAGUCCUCGAAAAACGGUCCUGUAAAACACAUAAUGUAUCAGUAAAUAUCGCGAUACACCCCGUUUGCUUUAAUAAUUUGGAAACACUGAUGAGAGUGCAAUGAAAGUCGGGCACGUAUAGGACAUCAUGCAACAUGUAAUCUUUGCUAAGUCGCAAAGUUCCCUGUUUAGUGGCCGGAGAGUUACGACCAUUAGGGCAUAGAACUGAUGAAGUAGCUAUGUCAUGUACGUCAUGUAGUAGGGCGAGAUCGCCGGUCAUGUGGUGCGAUGCACCUGUGUCAAUAAUAACGUCAGUGAGUGUAGUUUUACCAGACAAACGUUCGGACGAGAGGUUGCUCUGCUGGUUUUGUAGAAGCGUGAUCAAAGAAGCAAUCUGAUCAGCAUUGAUAGAAGUUGAUGCAUGAGUUGCAUUUGCUCGACCGCGUCCGCCACGGCCUCUGUUUGAGUUGGAACGUCCUCCACGUCCACCACGAGUACCCGAGGUAGAGUUGUUUUGUCUCUCAAGAUACCAUUCGGGAAACCCAUGUACUAGAAAGCACUCAGAAAUAUCAUGCCCUGGCCUGCCACAAUGUGUGCACGUACGAGCUGGAUCCCUAGAGCGCGAAGGUGUAGAGUUAUUGACCGACAACGACAGAUCCUUUGAGGUCUCGUUUUUAGCAGAGAAGCCUAAAGCAUCGGUUCGUUGUUCUGUAGAUCGAGUUGUGAUCAUGUUCUGCUCCUCACGAACUACUCUGGAGUAGACUAGGUUAAGAUCAGGUAAAGGAUCCUCGUCUGUGAUCCGUGACCUAAUAGACAUAAAGCGUGAGUCAUCUAGCCCGAAGAGGAACUUGUGAACUCGAGCAUCUUCUUUGUCUUUUUCAAUAUCAGCAGCCGCAGCACAGGUACACGUACGUAUGGUUUUGAGAUUCUGGAGUUCCUCCCAUAGUUUCGUGAGCCUGCCGUAGUAUUCCAGAACUGAUUGUCCAUCCUGCUUGCAGUUAGUAAUAGCAUCCUGGAGUUGAUGAACUCUAGUCCCAUUCUUGACAGAGAAACGCAGUCUCAAAGAUUCCCAUAGUUUAUGAGCAUCCGGUACGUGUGCCACCGUCGAACGAACUUUUGAAUCAAUCGACGUACGAAUCCAUCCGACGAUCAUUGAAUUUGCUGCCAGCCACCGUGCUAAAUCAGGACUAUCCUCCGAUGGUUUUGAUAUUGUUCCAUCAAUAAAGCCAAGUUUCUGCUUAGCUUGUAAAGAAUUCCGAAGCUCUGUCGACCACUCCUGGUAAUUUUCAUGAGUGAGAAGAACAGAUGUGAUAAGAACCCCGGGGUUAUAGGAUGGAUGGAGGUGAUAAGGAGAUAGCUCCGGAGGAACGCCUGUAGUUGCGGAAGUAGGAGUAGUAGUAAUAGACAUCUAGAACGAUGAAUUUAGAAGUAGAAGAAGAAUUAGAUCAAACGUUGAUGAGUUUGAUUUAGAAGAAAUUUUGGUAAGAUCUUAGCUCUGAUACCAUAUAAUGAAUAUAAUGUAGAAUUGUGUGUCCUUUAUUCAUUCACCAAGAGGUGUUUAUAUACAACAUCUUUAGCAUAACCUAGCUAGGAAAAGGAAAUACAUAGAUCGUCUAAAUCCCAACAAUAUAGGAAACUUUAUAUUUAUCCUAAUCCCAAUAC
rnacentral:lncRNA from 1 species